ensembl:lncRNA
CACACACACACACACACACACACAGCUGACAGCCACCACUGAUGGCCUUAUUUACUGGACCGAUGGGCUCUGUCUGAGAGAGCGAACUAUAUAUGCACUGCGGUCAAGCCCUGACCAGAAGCAUUUAGCAGGAACACCAGUUGAAGGGAAAACGGAUCUCAGUGCUACCUGCGAUUUGUGGACGGUCUGGCUCGAGCGUGAGGUAUGAGGAGUGCAGGUGGAACUUAACUAUGUAAAGGAUAAAGCUGCCCUGGUAGUGGAUGAUUCAGGACCGGAUGCCUCCAGGACUCGUGGGCUGUGGAGGAAAGGCUUUAGGGAGAAGCAGGAGAGUGUAGUGGGCAUGUGAGGAGGGCUGAGGGAUGUGUGAGCAGGAAGACGUGAGGUUGGACAGAUGGAGUGUAGUGCCCACACCACUACAACAGGAUGGGAAAGGGAAAACGCGGGGUGAAUUGUAUUGCAUUUCAUUCCGAAAUAAUGUACACACACACAGAGAGAGUUUCAUGCACGCUAGCACUAACAUACAUACAUUCACAAAGAGGCCUUUCAUUUCCAUGUAUUUAUUACAGUAUCAGAGCUGCACAUUAGCGCGUCUAAGUUUAGCACAGUUAGACCCCCCUCUUUAUAAAGCAGACUGUUCGACUGUUGAAGCCAGGCUGUGGCUUCAUAAACUCCAGAUCUAUGGUGACCGAACUCCCCAUCACCCCCAUGAAUUAUUCUAGAACACUCAACAGAGAAUGUAGAAGACAAGAAACUAAGACGUUGGCUGGAUAGAAAUCUCUAAUGUACAGAUCACCUCACGCUGAGUCUUGUGUUCUCGUGCCCUUUCAACACUAACAGCGGGGGAGUUCAGGAGGAGGAGGAGGUUAACCAGGGUUGGUGCUCAGUUCCCCUUCAGAUGUGUGUCAGUGUCAGCAUGUCACCUCUCUCCUCCUCUCGCGUUGAGAUGGUUGUCCUGUGCGUUUAAACUUCGCCCGUGCUUCAGCGUGAGGAGCCCAUGCCAAUGUUUGUGCAAUAAGUGUGUGUGGUUAAGGCUCGUGAGUCUGCGCGUCCUGGCAACCAACCAAAAGCUGAGUGAGUGUAUUCCUGGGUUUUGUAUAUUUCCUUUUUAGAAGACGUUACUUAACUGAUGUUUGAUUUUUAUUUGUGUAUUUUUUUUAGAUGACAUGACCUAACUGACGUUUGAUUUUUAUUUGUUGUUGUUUUUUUUUCAUUUUUGUACUCAUUCGUCUCUGCCAACAUUGUCCUUUUGCUAAAAUAAUGUUUUAAUAUUAAAAAAAAGCCUUUUUACUAGACCCUGUCAACUUUGUGGAGGAAUCAUCCUUUUGUAAGCCAUCUGAAGCAUUCGCAAUGCUAACGACUGAUGUAUCAAUAAUGAAAUAUAUCAUUCUAAUAAAAUAUUUAAUUAACCUGAUUGUCAUGUUUUCCUUCCACGGAAACCGAUAUAGAGUAUGUCGUCACGAGGCAUCUCACACCGCACACAAUGUCAUUUUCAGUUGCUGCUCACUUUUAGGCAGAGCGGCCAGGCGUCUCCACUGGGGGACGACAGAGAGCAGGCUCCUCUUCAGAAUGGCCCCCCUCUCGCCUUAGACCCUCAGGCAGACGUCAGCGGCCUGAAGCACAGUUGAACAAGUGAAUCAGCUCCUGACAGUCAAUGCAACCUUAUAAAGCAGAACUGGAA